rnacentral:sRNA from 1 species
AGGUAGGCGAUCACAUUGGCAAUCUCCUCGUCCUUCUUGAGGCCGGGGAAUACCAUCUUGG